CAAGGUCGCGUGAUGACUAGUUGCAUAGUUCAAAUGAAUUAGCCCUCUGAGGCUAUGAUUAAGAAAAUAAAAUAGUCUUUCGCUCCUAUCUGAUGACCUUA
rnacentral:snoRNA from 1 species